rnacentral:ncRNA from 2 species
GCCCCGAAGCGGGGGUACCGGCGCACGCCGGUUGAGACAGUCCCUUCGAACCUGAUCCGGCUGAUACCGGCGUAGGGAAGCUUCGCAACCGGCUUU